rnacentral:rRNA from 1 species
AACGAACGCUGGCGGCAUGCCUAACACAUGCAAGUCGAACGAGAUCUUCGGGUCUAGUGGCGCACGGGUGCGUAACGCGUGGGAAUCUGCUCUUUGGUUCGGAAUAACAGUUGGAAACGACUGCUAAUACCGGAUGAUGACGAAAGUCCAAAGAUUUAUCGCCAGAGGAUGAGCCCGCGUAGGAUUAGCUAGUUGGUGUGGUAAAGGCGCACUAAGGCGACGAUCCUUAGCUGGUCUGAGAGGAUGAUCAGCCACACUGGGACUGAGACACGGCCCAGACUCCUACGGGAGGCAGCAGUGGGGAAUAUUGGACAAUGGGCGAAGGCCUGAUCCAGCAAUGCCGCGUGAGUGAUGAAGGCCUUAGGGAUGUAAAGCUCUUUUACCCGGGUUGAUAAUGACAGUACCGGGAGAAUAAGCUCCGGCUAACUCCGUGCCAGCCGCCGCAGUAA